GUUUGCCAUCGGUCCCGCUGCCUGAAGACUCAGGCACAGUGCAGAACAAGAUGCUUUGUCUUAUUCCUCCACUCACCGAGUCAGAAGAGGUGCUUGGACAUUUGCACCAAGCAGAUGCGCCUCAUAUGUAGAAGAGGAACCAGUCGGGUCCCCUUUCGGAAGGACGAAUGGAAGAGGAAGUCAGGGGACGAUGCCUUCAGCCGACGUUGAGGAACAAACCAGGACCUCGGCGAGGACAGCGUGUGGUCCAGAAGGCAUCGCUGGCCUCGCUGCACUGAGCGAGAGCGCUCAGUUAACAGCCAGGAGGAGAAAUGGGACGCUUCGGGACCCACCCCCGCGCUCCCCCUCCCGCCCCCAAACUGCAGAUUUUUAAGUUGUGCAGACGUGGAACAAUUCCUCGGAGCCAGCUGCUCCAAGCUAAGGCGCCCAGUGUUCCCUGGGUUCCUACCCGCAGCAUACGCCCUGCCAGCUGCCCCCAAGCCAGCACCCGCUGACCACUCACCUCAGGCAAGCACCUAGGAAGACGAUGCAGAUUCAAGCUCCAGACCUUGAGCCAAGCGCUGGGGAGGGAAUGGGGGCAAAGAGAUGGUGGAAAACACUUUCCUGAACUUACUGAAUACCCUAUGUUAUGUGUGGGUUUUCUAAUUGUUCUUUGCUUAAUGAAAAACCCACGUUGGAAAUCAGAAAAAGGCAGUAAUCCUCACCGUAUCUUGUGGGCUUCAAAGAGGAGGUUUUCCCCUUAAAGGGAGUUUUGGUCCAGAGGAGAGGCUAACAGCAGGCAGGAAGGGCAGAGGAAAAGAUAAAGCCUAGGGUGGUCUUCCCCCUGAGGCCUGGAGCCCACCAAGCUCCAACAGUUUCAUUUGGCUUCUGGGAAGCAAAGUACAGAUGCAUGUGUCUGCAGAGCACUGUUCUGAGCCAUUUGUCCCUAAUUCCAUGGUUCUUUGGUUCCUCCAAUCUUGUCUCCUCUCCUGUGGAAGAGGAUCCAAAGCAUUGGUCCACACUGCUAUUUACAAGUGGCUGAAGAAGGUAACUUUCUUACAUAGUUCAUCUUUAGCAUAAGCUCUAAGAUUGUUCUAAAAAUAUAUUUACAUUUUAUCAACACCUUAGAAGAAUGCUUCCAGAUCUCUCCCAGCAGUUACCUAUUUAAUCAUUUUAAAAUCACUAAGUUUAUCCAAAAAGUCCAGCAUGGUUUACUUGAGAAGGAAAUAUGUUCAGAAUCUCUAAGCACUGCAGAAGGCACCUGCAGUGCAGAAGAGUUGGCAGUGAGGUCUUUCUCCUGGGGUCUGGGCGGAACAUGUGAGCAGUCGGGAAGGCACACACAGUGGGAGCCAGUAAGGGCCCCUGUGCAUCUGCAGGAGCUGAGGACAGAAGGGGUGGGCCUCCACGGUGGGCAUGUAGGAGUGGGCACAGAGAAGGGCCACAGAUCUGAGACAGAGACAGACAGGACUUCUUACCCUGCUGAGCCCUGCAGGGAGCCACUUCGUCUUUCAGCCCUGAUUUUGUCAUCUGUAAGGAAAUUUCCUCUCUCCCAGGGUAAUCAUGUGAAGCCAAUGAAAUAAUAAAAAGGACCACAUCGGAUGACCCCUGAGGCAGGUCUGCUCCCCAAAAGUUUACUCUUGAAUGUUGACCAAGGUUGAGCUAGGCAAAGUGGUAAAUUCACACACACGGUAUGUAGCCCCUUCCCCAACCCCAGUCUCCAUUACCGGGGGCAUGCUGUGAACUAACUGCCUCCUUUUCCCCACACACCCACUUCCUGCCCAGUCUUUAUGCCUCCCGAUAUGACAUCCCGUUCCCUCUUAAUUAACUGUGCCUAUAGAGAAACAUCUAGAUAAACCAUGCAUUUAAUCUGUGAGGGGUCAAUCAUUUAAUCAUCGUUGACAAUAAUGCUCACUCCUCUGUGGUUUCAGAGGACUCCUGGAGUGGAUGGAGACACAUGCCACUAAUGUGGGAUGCAUUUCAGUCUGUCUUCCAGGCCUCGUUUGGAGGUCUCCCUCUCUUACCCACCUAUCACACAUCCAUGUCUUCCCUUCCCUCCCCAGAGCCAAACCUGUCCCCGACUUUUUAUUCUCACUAAAGUUCAAAUGACAGAAAUCAGCUAGAUUAGUACUUGCCUUAGUCCUGAAGGAAAGGGAAGUGCUCAUUAGCUUCUUAAAUUGGAACAGGUCUGCAGGUGAAAAUGAAGAUGUGCUCAUCUCUGGCAGGAAGGUUGGGAGUGAGGGGUAUAGUCAUAAUGAGCAGCGUUUAUUUGGUGUGUGCCUCUCACUUGCCACUUUCUACCCAGCUGCCUGAAUAUCACUCCAGUUAGUCUGAGCACAUGAAACACCUGCAACUCCCCAGACCCACCAUGCUUUUUCUUGACUCUCUGAAUGCACAGCAGUGCCUCCUCAGCUAAGAACACAGUUCCCCAUCACCAAGCUUUGCUUUGCCCAACAGACCCCUUCUCCCUUAGGAUGAGAUUCAGUGGAUAAUCACAUCAUAAUCACGACCCUCUGGGAAGCCGCCUCUCUCAUCCUGGGUUGUGUGUUGUGUGUUUCCUUUCCACACUCCCUCAGCAGCCUUUGCCUCCCACUUUCAUAGAAUCUACCAUAUGGGAUUUUAACUGUUUGUCUUCCACUAGACAAUAAGCUCCUUGAAGACUGAAUUUCCAGGAACUUCUGUUGGAUCUGCAUGUUUGUGAAGUGAAUUACUGAAGGCUGCCCAGUUUCAUCUGAUCCUAGUCAAAACCUAAAUCCCUUAUUUCUACGCUACCUUUUGCCAGCACCUGAAAAUGAUGCCAGGUUUCUGGAAUCCACGGCAGCAAUGGGUGAUAAGUCUCCAGCAUCUGGGUGACAGCAGACUGACUCUGCUCUCAAGUCUCAUUAAUCCACAUUUGAUCUCCCAGCGGUCCACAACUGUCACUUGCCCCGUCACUUGCUGGUCUGUGGCUAAAGAAACCUAGC
rnacentral:lncRNA from 1 species